GGACCUAUUGUUACGUAAAUGGCGGUAAAACGUUAAGCAAAUAAAAGAGUAUAAAAUACUAAACUGAAACUAUAACUAAUUCUCAACAUUCUGGGGGCCGCAAAAUGCAAUUACUGUUCAUGUAUUGUUCAUAAAAAGGGUAUUGAAAAAACACUUUUAACAAUUAAAGUUCAUAUUUCUAAUGGCACCAGUUUCACAAUUGGUCUCGUGGUAAUCAGUCCAUUUGAUGUCCGAAGUUUGACUGCUCUCACUACUCCAUCAUUUCCGGUGAUCAAAUCUUCUAUAACUGCUAGUUUCCACAUCAUUCUCGGUGAAUU
rnacentral:lncRNA from 1 species